ensembl:lncRNA
CAUCAUUUAACUAAGAUGAAGAAACUAGAACUCUGAACAGCAAAGCCACUGGCCUGAAGUGAACAUCAAGUAAGUGGCAGAGCAGGGGACUGGGAUCCAGACCUGCUCUGUCUCAGUCACCAGGCCGAAGUGGCCCCUUUGCAAGGAGUACGUGGAGCCUGUCAGCAACUCCUGGGUGAGAAACUUCACGGAGAAUCAAGAUAUUGGCUGGUUGUUCAAGGCUCCUGGAACUGCACAGGGGAAACUCCAGAAUGACCAGAGCUCAAUGGUAUUGAGUGUGAAAGCCUGAGGCACAAUGGCUAGGCACAUCCUCUUAUCAGAAGGGGCAGUGCUAGGACAUGUAAUGAGAUCCCCCAAGAACGGUUGCUGGCAGCCCACUACCGCUGUUGCUGGGGGCUGAGGGUUGAGUGGGUCUGAGUGCUUGCCUGUGAGCAAUUCAGGACCCUAAGAGAUUCCCAAAGAAACUGCUGCUCUGAGGUUAUUCAUCUGAUGCGAAGAUGCUGGUGAGAAAAGACAUUUUCUGAGGCUGCAGAGACAUCCCUGGCCCUUUCUACUGUGCAAGGACAUAGUGAGAAGGUACCAGCUAUGAACCAAGAAGUGGGCCCUCAC